rnacentral:tRNA from 1 species
UGGGGUGUGGCUCAGUGGUAAAGCGCUUGCCUAGUACACGUGAGGCACUGGGUUCAGUUCUCAGCACUUCAU